GCCAUGGCGGCCGCGGGAAUUCGAUUAGAGUUUGAUCAUGGCUCAGAUUGAGCGCUGGGGGCAGGCCUAACACAUGCAAGUCGAGCGGUAGAGAGGUGCUUGCACCUCUUGAGAGCGGCGGACGGGUGAGUAAUGCCUAGGAAUCUGCCUGGUAGUGGGGGAUAAGCUCGGAAACGGACGCUAAUACCGCAUACGUCCUACGGGAGAAAGCAGGGGACCUUCGGGCCUUGCGCUAUCAGAUGAGCCUAGGUCGGAUUAGCUAGUUGGUGAGGUAAUGGCUCACCAAGGCGACGAUCCGUAACUGGUCUGAGAGGAUGAUCAGUCACACUGGAACUGAGACACGGUCCAGACUCCUACGGGAGGCAGCUGUGGGGAAUAUUGGACAAUGGGCGAAAGCCUGAUCCAGCCAUGCCGCGUGUGUGAAGAAGGUCUUCGGAUUGUAAAGCACUUUAAGUUGGGAGGAAGGGCAUUAACCUAAUACGUUAGUGUUUUGACGUUACCGACAGAAUAAGCACCGGCUAACUCUGUGCCAGCAGCCGCGGUAAUACGAAUCACUAGUGAAUUCGCGGCCGCCUGCAGGUCGACCAUAUGGGAGAGCUCCCAACGCGU
rnacentral:rRNA from 1 species